rnacentral:rRNA from 1 species
GACAGAGGGUGCUAGCGUUGUUCGGAAUUACUGGGCGUAAAGGGCGCGUAGGCGGCUCGUUUAGUCGGGUGUGAAAUCCCAAGGCUCAACCUUGGAACUGCAUUCGAUACUGGCGGGCUAGAGACCGGAAGAGGUGGGUGGAAUACCCAGUGUAGAGGUGAAAUUCGUAGAUAUUGGGUGGAACACCGGUGGCGAAGGCGGCUCACUGG